ensembl:snRNA U6 U6 spliceosomal RNA
UGGUGCUUGCUUCAGCAGCACUUUGAACAACAAUCUACUAAAAUUGGAAUGACACAGAGAAGAUUAGCGUGACCCCUGAACAAGGAUGACAUGCAAAUUCAUGAAGCAUUCCAUAUUUUA